UUACGAUCCAUGUGAAAGUCCAGAGGAACUUAGUCAUUGACUGUGGUGGGGCUGCAGGACGAUAAGAAUUCGGAAGUGAAAGAACUCAGAAGGCAGUGCCAGCAGCUGGAGUCUAUUAAACGGGGCAGGAUCUGUGUCAAAAGAGCUUCUCUCCAGAGUAGAAAGGAUCAGUGCGAAGAAAAUCAUUGGCUCAGAUUGCAACAGGCUGAAGAAAGCAUAAGAUAUUCUCGUCAGCAUCACAGUAUUCAGAUGGUGAGUGUCCUCCGAAGGAAAAUGUUCUAUGUUUGUGUAGCGUGACAUGCAGGCCUAGACUUGUGGAAACUGGAGUUGCGCUGCCCUGGACCUGCAGCUGUCAGCCAAUUCACCUCCAGGCCUGCAGUCUGGUUGCAGUCUUGGGGUGGUAAUGUUGGGGUACAGCCUCUUUCUUUGUCAAGACAUUUUUAUUGUAUGCCACGACAUUUUUGUAAUGUUGAGCAAUUUACAA
rnacentral:lncRNA from 1 species